rnacentral:hammerhead_ribozyme from 1 species
AUCCAACUGACGAGUCCCAAAUAGGACGAAGUGGCGCACCUCCUGGAU